UUGGCCUUGUUUUUUCUCAACAAUAAGCAUGUGUUGUGUGUGAAGAAGGUUUCACAGGUUGAACACAAGAAGUGUUCAACCUGUGAAGAUAGUCCGUAGUUUUACAAUGGCUGAGAUAUUUUGGACAUUUGAAAAAGAUGAAAUGCUUAAUGAACUAGUGAAAAGUAAGCCAGGAAUGUAUGAUUUGCAGUCACAUUACUACAGUGACAAUAAUUAUUAAAAAAAGGCGUGGGACGAAAUUGAGGAAACACUAGAAUUAACUGGUGCCAAAAAUCGUUGGGAAUCUUUGAGAUCUAAAUACCGCAAAUAUUUGUCGAAGUUAAAAACUAAAAGUGGCCAAGCAGCACGGAAAAUUUCCAAAUGGCGGCAUUGUGAUCAUAUGCAAUUCCUCAAUGACUUUGUCAAUAUUGAUAGGCCACGAACGUCAUCAAUUAUUGACAAAGACAGUGAGAGAAUUGUUGAAGUAGAGAAAAAGGAUUCACCAGGUGUGCAAACCAGCUCGGUUAGAUGCGUUGAAAAUGAGGAUGCUGAACCAACGAAAAAUAUUAGUAACACAUUUACUAAGGCCACUCCGACAGCUUCAAAAGUGAAAAAUAGACCAGGCCUUACACAACAAGAAAAUGCAUCGUCCACUUUAAUGAAGUACAUUUUAGAAAAAAAAGAUCAAGAACGGGCCAUACAUCCAAUAGAUAAUUUCUUUACACUUUACACCAAUUGAUCAGCAUCUGGUGAAGACGAAAAUAUUCACUAUAGUUAGCCAAAUCGAGGAAAAAUACUUAACCUCAAGAUAUACUCCGACUUCACAAUUCUUGCCACCACCACCAACCUAUCAUGGUCAACGACCAUCUCUUGUUCAAUCACCUGCUCCAUCUGCGUCGUCAUCAUCUUCAUCGAAUUUCUACGCCACAAACGUCGCUUCUCCACCCGAUUUUUCAACACCAUCCUCUCAAUAUUCAUACAUACAUCAACAGGCAACUACUCCACUCGGAUCUACAUCGUCUACUACUCCACUUGCAUCGACAUUCGGUGAUUCCAUGCCAUACCCGCCACGUUAUCUCACACCAUCGCCGCAAUACCAAGAAGUUGAAAAUCAAUCGUCACAAAAUUUAUAUCAGUCACAAUCCUCACAUAACAAUAAUAAUAAUAAUUAACAUAUUUCUUCGCAGAUUAUUAUAUUUACUUCAUUUAUUAGUAUUAUGUUAAUGUUUGUUUGAUUUUUUUAGAUACUUUUAUAAUAAAAAUGAUCACAUACCUUAAACAUACGAGUAAUUUUUCACGUGGAGAAAUAGCUUCACGAAAAGUUGUAUUUUUCUUCAAAAUUUUAUCUUGUAUUUUUCGUAGGAUCAUUUCAAAAGUUCCAGAAUCCAUUCGGCAGUACUGUAAAAUAUUUCUGCAUCGUCUAUUAAAUGACGAUACAAAGUGUGGUAUUCACCUUUUCUAUUUAUUAAACUUGGAUGAAUCCACAUUCUUCGUCUCGAAAUUUUCUUUUUUCUUAAUUUUUUAUUUUGAUUUUCCUCAUCAAGCAGGAUAGCCAUAAUUGCUAGAUCUUCAAAUCAAAAUUGAAUGCCAUUUUUUGGUGAAAAAUUCGAAAUCUAUAUACGUCUUCACGCAACGAACGAUGAAUGUAGACUGGACCAUAACCAAUGCUAGAACGAAAAUGUAGAUGUCGACUGAUUUUACCGGACCGAGACUGGACCAAGAGCGAACCGUGAUCGGAAUCAUAGUGUGAAUCGAGCCUAAUGCACUAGUUUGUAUAUUAGGAAUU